rnacentral:rRNA from 1 species
CACGUAGGGGGCAAGCGUUGUCCGGAUUUAUUGGGCGUAAAGAGCUCGUAGGCGGUCUGUCGCGUCGGCUGUGAAAACUCGGGGCUCAACCCCGAGCCUGCAGUCGAUACGGGCAGACUAGAGUGCUGUAGGGGAGACUGGAAUUCCUGGUGUAGCGGUGAAAUGCGCAGAUAUCAGGAGGAACACCGGUGGCGAAGGCGGGUCUCUGGGCCGAUACUGACGCUGAGGAGCGAAAGCGUGGGGAGCGAACAGG